rnacentral:precursor_RNA from 15 species
GCGGUGCCAGUGUUCCAGGGUAUCUGAGAGAAUGGUCGACUGGUGACGUGCACUUCAUUUAUGUUGUAGGUCACCAGUUUGACUCUCUAUCAGCACCCAACCCAACUUGGUGCACAUG